rnacentral:rRNA from 1 species
UACCAGCACCCCGAGUGGUCGGGACGUUUAUUGGGCCUAAAGCAUCCGUAGCCGGUUCUACAAGUCUUCCGUUAAAUCCACCUGCUUAACAGAUGGGCUGCGGAAGAUACUAUAGAGCUAGGAGGCGGGAGAGGCAAGCGGUACUCGAUGGGUAGGGGUAAAAUCCUCUGAUCCAUUGAAGACCACCAGUGGCGAAGGCGGCUUGCCAGAACGCGCUCGACGGUGAGGGAUGAAAGCUGGGGGAGCAAACCGG